rnacentral:rRNA from 1 species
GACGAACGCUGGCGGCGUGCUUAACACAUGCAAGUCGAACGAAGUGGCGAACGGGUGAGUAACGCGUAAUCAACCUGCCCUUCAGAGGGGGACAACAGUUGGAAACGACUGCUAAUACCGCAUACUGAAGGAGGGGAUUGCGUCUGAUUAGCUAGUCGGAGGGGUAACGGCCCACAAAGGCGAUGAUCAGUAGCCGGUCUGAGAGGAUGACCGGCCACAUUGGGACUUGUACACGGCCCAGACUCCUACGGGAAGCAGCAGUGAGGAAUCUUCCGCAAUGGACGAAAGUCUGACGGAGCAACGCCGCGUGAGUGAUGACGGCCUUCCGGUUGUAAAGCUCUGUUAAUCGGGACGCGGUACCGGAAUAGAAAGCCACGGCUAACUACGUGCCAGCCGCCGCGGUAAUUC